AGCGAUGUGGAACAGUUGGUUUAGUUCGUAAGGCUCAUAACCUUAAGGUCGCUGGUUCGAGUCCAGUCAUCGCUC
rfam:Trichomonas vaginalis G3, whole genome shotgun sequence.